rnacentral:rRNA from 1 species
AUUGAACGCUGGCGGAAUGCUUUACACAUGCAAGUCGAGCGGCAGCGCGGCCUUCGGGCUGGCGGCGAGCGGCGAACGGGUGAGUAAUGCAUCGGAACAUGCCCAGUCGUGGGGGAUAACACUUCGAAAGAAGUGCUAAUACCGCAUACGUCCUGAGGGGGAAAGCGGGGGAUCGCAGGACCUCGCGCGAUUGGAGUGGCCGAUGUCAGAUUAGCUAGUUGGUGGGGUAAAGGCCUACCAAGGCGACGAUCUGUAGCUGGUCUGAGAGGAUGAUCAGCCACACUGGGACUGAGACACGGCCCAGACUCCUACGGGAGGCAGCAGUGGGGAAUUUUGGACAAUGGGGGCAACCCUGAUCCAGCCAUUCCGCGUGAGUGAAGAAGGCCUUCGGGUUGUAAAGCUCUUUCGGCAGGAACGAAACGGUGGGCUCUAACAUAGACCGCUAAUGACGGUACCUGAAGAAGAAGCACCGGCUAACUACGUG